CACGAUUUUUCCGCCAAUUGAACGGAAGUCUUGACGGAGCAACGCCGCUGGAGUGUAUGAAGGCUUUCGGCUCGUUCAACUCUGUGGUAAGGAAAGAACAAAUUGCUAGCUGAAUAAGCUGGCACUUGACGGUCACUUACCAGAAAGCCACGGCUAAUACGUGCCAGCAGCCGUGGUAAUACGUAGGUGGCAAACAUUUAUCCCGAAUUAUUGGGCGUAAAGCGCGCGCAGGUGGUUUCUUAAGUGUGAUGUGACAGCCCCCGGCUCAACCGCGGAGGGUCAUUGGAAACUGGGAGACUUGAGUGCAGAAGAGGAAAGUGGAAUUCCAUGUGUAGCGGUGAAAUGCGUAGAGAUAUGGAGGAACACCAGUGGCGAAGGCGCCUUUCUGGUCUGUAACUGACAAUGAGGCGCGAAAGCGUGGGGAGCAAACAGGAUUAGAUAUCCUGGUAGUCCACGCCGUAAACGAUGAGUGCUAAGUGUUAGAGGGUUUCCGCCCUUUAGUGCUGAAGUUAACGCAUUAAGCACUCCCCUCUGGGGAGUACGCCCGCAAGGUUGAAACUCAAAGGAAUUGACGGGGGCCCGCACAAGCGGUGGAGCAUGUGGUUUAAUUCGAAGCAACGCGAAGAACCUUACCAGGUCUUGACAUCCUUUGAAAACCCUAGAGAUAGGGCUUCUCCUUCGGGAGCAGAGUGACAGGUGGUGCAUGGUUGUCGUCAGCUCGUGUCGUGAGAUGUUGGGUUAAGUCCCGCAACGAGCGCAACCCUUGAUCUUUGUUGCCAUCAUUCAGUUGGGCACUUUAAGGUGACUGCCGGUGACAAACCGGAGGAAGGUGGGGACGAUGUCAAAUCAUCAUGCCCCUUAUGACCUUGGGUACACACGUGUUACAAUGGACGGUACAAAGAGCUGCAAGACCGCGAGGUGGAGCUAAUCUCAUAAAACCGUUCUCAGUUCGGAUUGUAGGAUGCAACUCGCCUACAUGAAGCUGGAAUCGCUAGUAAUCGCGGAUCAGCAUGCCGCGGUGAAUACGUUCCCGGGCCUUGUACACACCGCCCGUCACACCACGAGAGUUUGUAACCCCCGAAGUCGGUGGGGUAACCUUCUGGAGCCCACCCGCCUAAUGUUUGGCCCCCC
rnacentral:rRNA from 1 species